rnacentral:rRNA from 1 species
GAUGAACGCUAGCGGCAGGCCUAACACAUGCAAGUCGAGGGAGAAGCCUUUCGGGGCAGAAACCGGCGCACGGGUGCGUAACGCGUAUGCAACCUACCUUUCACAGGGGGAUAGCCCGAAGAAAUUUGGAUUAAUACCCCAUAAUAUUGUUGGAUGGCAUCAUCUGAUAAUUAAAACUGCGGUGGUGAAAGAUGGGCAUGCGUCCUAUUAGCUAGUUGGAGUGGUAACGGCACCCCAAGGCUACGAUAGGUAGGGGUCCUGAGAGGGAGAUCCCCCACACGGGUACUGAGACAGGGACCAGACUCCUACGGGAGGCAGCAGUGAGGAAUAUUGGUCAAUGGUCGGAAGACUGAACCAGCCAUGCCGCGUGCAGGAAGAAUGCCUUAUGGGUUGUAAACUGCUUUUAUAUGGGAAGAAUAAGGUGUACGUGUACAUUGAUGACGGUACCAUAUGAAUAAGCAUCGGCUAACUCCGUG